rnacentral:rRNA from 1 species
GUGAGUAACGCGUAUGCAAUCUACCUACAACAAGGGGAUAACCCGUUGAAAGACGGACUAAUACCCUAUAAUACAGGGGUUCCGCAUGGGAAUAUUUGUUAAAGAUUCAUCGGUUGUAGAUGAGCAUGCGUUCCAUUAGCUUGUUGGUGAGGUAACGGCCCACCAAGGCAACGAUGGAUAGGGGAACUGAGAGGUUUAUCCCCCACACUGGUACUGAGACACGGACCAGACUCCUACGGGAGGCAGCAGUGAGGAAUAUUGGUCAAUGGACGCAAGUCUGAACCAGCCACGUCGCGUGAAGGAAGACGGCCCUACGGGUUGUAAACUUCUUUUGUAAGGGAAUAAAGUGAGUCACGAGUGACUUUUUGCAUGUACCUUACGAAUAAGGAUCGGCUAACUCCGUGCCAGCAGCCGCGGUAAUACGGAGGAUCCGAGCGUUAUCCGGAUUUAUUGGGUUUAAAGGGUGCGCAGGCGGGAGAUUAAGUCGGCGGUGAAAUUUUGCAGCUCAACUGUAAAAGUGCCUUCGAAACUGGUUUUCUUGAGUGUAGAUGAAGUAGGCGGAAUUUGUGGUGUAGCGGUGAAAUGCAUAGAUAUCACGAGGAACUCCGAUUGCGCAGGCAGCUUACUAAACUACUACUGACGCUCAGGCACGAAGGCGUGGGGAUCAAACAGGAUUAGAUACCCU